rnacentral:rRNA from 1 species
AUGCACGCUGGCGGCGUGCCUAAUCCAUGCCAGUCGCGCGAACAGACGAGGAGCUUGCUCCUCUGACGUUAGCGGCGGACGGGUGAGUAACACGUGGAUAACCUACCUAUAAGACUGGGAUAACUUCGGGAAACCGGAGCUAAUACCGGAUAAUAUAUUGAACCGCAUGGUUCAAUAGUGAAAGACGGUUUUGCUGUCACUUAUAGAUGGAUCCGCGCCGCAUUAGCUAGUUGGUAAGGUAACGGCUUACCAAGGCAACGAUGCGUAGCCGACCUGAGAGGGUGAUCGGCCACACUGGAACUGAGACACGGUCCAGACUCCUACGGGAGGCAGCAGUAGGGAAUCUUCCGCAAUGGGCGAAAGCUUGACGGAGCAACGCCGCGUGAGUGAUGAAGGUCUUCGGAUCGUAAAACUCUGUUAUUAGGGAAGAACAAAUGUGUAAGUAACUAUGCACGUCUUGACGGUACCUAAUCAGAAAGCCACGGCUAACUACGUG